UGCCAGCCGCCGCGGUAAUACGGAGGAUCCAAGCGUUAUCCGGAAUCAUUGGGUUUAAAGGGUCCGUAGGUGGAUAAUUAAGUCAGAGGUGAAAGUUUGCAGCUCAACUGUAAAAUUGCCUUUGAUACUGGUUAUCUUGAAUCAUUAUGAAGUAGUUAGAAUAUGUAGUGUAGCGGUGAAAUGCAUAGAUAUUACAUAGAAUACCAAUUGCGAAGGCAGAUUACUAAUAAUCGAUUGACACUGAUGGACGAAAGCGUAGGUAGCGAACGGGAUUAGAUA
rnacentral:rRNA from 1 species